UCAACAGUAGCUAUGUAAAUAAUUGUAGCGAGAGUAUUUGGAAAUGGAGCUCUUGAUUCUGGCCCUACUGCCUUGGCAGCAAAGAUAUCUUUACAUCUUUACAUCAUUGUUACACCUCCAUGGGCGAUGAAAACCACCGAACAAACUAUACCCAAUUCCUACUUCCAUGAUUCCGUCGGCAUAACUACCCAGUAAACCAUUUUCUUUCCUUUCAUCUUCUUCCAUGUUUUGUUCCUCGAUGGGAAAUGAAGACUACAUAAAGUUCUUUUUUCGACAGAUUAGUCCUCAAAUCCCAACCCCGCUUCCACACAGACUUUAAUGUUGGACAAUUUUGGAUUCUGCAUGUGAUGAUUAUUAAUUUUGUACUCCGUGUUUUGAGUACUUGGUGGAAAAUCCCAAAUCAAAUUAGUUCCAGAGAUCGUGUCUUCCAAUAUGGAAUUUCUAUUCAGGUACUGUUUUCUUUAUCUGGAAACAGUACUUGAUAAAAUGCCUUACUCGAACUACCGUAGAGGUUAUAAACAAAGGCAUGUAAUUCUAUUAGGUGCUAAUGGUGAUAUGGGUGAUUCUUAAAACUGAAGUUGGUGAAGAAACCCAACUCAAAUUAGUCGCAGAUCCUGUCCUCCAAUCUGGAAUUUCUGCUCAGAGGAAACAAAUGCAAUUACUGGAUCAACACAACAGGUUGUGGAUAAUGUAACUGGUGAUAUCUUUCUCAAAGAGCUGGUGAGGAUGGAUGAAUUUCAUUCGAUAGGUAUGGUCGCUGUUUUAUUUGUUCUAUAAACGAACCUGGAAAAAAAAGUUAGCGAAAAGACAAAUCAAUAAAAGGUAUGAGACUAACAGUAGAGAUUAUAUGGGUUUUACUUGACAAUGUCAUUUGGAAUUAUUCUCCUUAAAUAGAAAGAGCGUAGUUAGAACUAUCUGUUUGUUUUAUUGGAGAAGCUUAUAAUAAAGAAGAUCGGGAUUUCUAAAAUUCUAAGAACAGUACUUUGAAUGUUUAUAGAUUUUCGGUACGAGAACUGGAUGAAUGGAUGAAACUUAGUAUGGAUGCCAAAUAAGUAUUUUUGGUCGAUAGUACUGAUAAAACUUAGCAUGGAUGCCAGAUUCUUAAGUAUUACUUUUCGGAACAUUAGAUUGUUUUUUUAACAUUUUAUACUUCAAUGGCAAAUGUUUCUUUAUGUUUCUAAUGCAGGGCAACAGACGUUCGAUGAAUGCUCUGUUUAAGAUGUAAUCUCCCCUUGUACAGGUUAGUUUGUGAUCUUUUGCGUUCAACCCCGAACUUCACCAGAACCUUGCACAGGCAUUUCUCUUUGUUGUCACUUCCAGUAUUAACAUUAUUUUCGAUCAAAAAUCCCCAAAAACAUUGAUGGGAACUUACUAUGAGGUGAAAGGUUGGUUUAUUCCUUUUAAAUAAUGAAAAGGAUAUAAUAUAGUAGUAGUCUUUGACAAGAACUUACUUUAUCAUGCAUAUAUAUAAGUUAGCGAUAAGCUUAACAGUUUAGUAGUAUAUAGGGCAUACAAAUAAGAUGAGAAUGGCGAGGCUGCUGCAAGACUACUAAACUCUUAACAGUUGAUUAGUAUUAACUCCUAAUAACGUAUCCAGCUAUCUAAAACUGUAUGCAUUCACUCAUACUGCUUAGUUAAAGGUGGAUUAUGGCAAUAGGAAUGGCAAGGUUUGCUGUCUAAGCCUUGGCUUAAACCAUUUUGCCAUCUUAAGAAGUUUGGCCUGGAAAGAAUUCUGAGCCUCGGUGCUUCAUUUAACAAUCCGAAAAGCUUUAAAAAUUAGAGCCCAUUCUAGACAAAUGCUGAGUCAUAAUGUUUUUUUUUCUUCUAGAACAAAACUGGUGAGCCAUGGGUGCAACGGUUGAUGGAAGGUAAAUAUGCUGACCUUACUGUUGAGGAGCGUCUUAAUGCUUUGGCUGCCUAAUUUGGCGUGGCGAUUGAUGAUUACGGAUUCCUUCUCUUCCGCACCUUUCUAUCCACACCUAUCUGUUCUGAUAUGAUGAUGAAUUUUUACAGGAGUGGUACUUGGAAGAUGGAAACACUCUCAAGAAGCGUGCGGAGGCGCAACUGGAUAAGAGGCAGCUGAAACAAGGGUAUAUAAUAAAGUCUAAAAGUUUAUAUUUUAUUGGAACCAAGGCUGGCCUAAAUGUAAUGGUAGCUGGAGUGAAUACCAGAGAUCAACGAGGCAUAUGUGAAAUGCAAAGUAGCUCCAGAAAGUUGUCAGCAACAACAUUCAUCUGGUGAUGCAACUGCGAGACAAUUGGCGGUCACAAUUCAAGUUUUACAUUGGUCAAUGAGCAGACGAGAUGUAUGUAUACAUAUCUUUGCCCCUGCUACAGAAUAUUCUAAUGAUGUUCAAUAGAUUAAUAAACCCAUUUUGGUGAAGUUGUGUAAAAAUAUGUUUUAAACAGAAGAUUUUGGGGGUUCAUGGAUAAAAAUAACAUAUUAAAACGAA